AUUGAACGCUGGCGGCAUGCCUUACACAUGCAAGUCGAACGGCAGCACGGGAGCAAUCCUGGUGGCGAGUGGCGAACGGGUGAGUAAUGUAUCGGAACGUGCCCAGUCGUGGGGGAUAACGUAGCGAAAGCUACGCUAAUACCGCAUACGAUCUAUGGAUGAAAGCGGGUGAUCGCAAGACCUCGCGCGAUUGGAGCGGCCGAGAUCAGAUUAGGUAGUUGGUGGGGUAAAGGCCCACCAAGCCUGCGAUCUGUAGCUGGUCUGGGAGGACGACCAGCCACACUGGAACUGAGACACGGUCCAGACUCCUACGGGAGGCAGCAGUGGGGAAUUUUGGACAAUGGGCGCAAGCCUGAUCCAGCAAUGCCGCGUGCAGGAUGAAGGCCUUCGGGUUGUAAACUGCUUUUGUACGGAACGAAACGGCUUUUUCUAAUACAGAGAGCUAAUGACGGUACCGUAAGAAUAAGCACCGGCUAACUACGUGCCAGCCGCCGCCGUAA
rnacentral:rRNA from 1 species